rnacentral:rRNA from 1 species
AUAUUGGGGAGAGACCGAUAGCGAACAAGUACCGUGAGGGAAAGAUGAAAAGCACUUUGGAAAGAGAGUUAAACAGUACGUGAAAUUGUCAAAAGGGAACCAUUUGAAGUUAGUCAUGCUUGCCUGGACUCAGCCUUGCUUUUGCUUGGUGCAUUUCCAGGUUUGCAGGUCAGCAUCGGUUUUGACUGCUGGAUAAGGGUGAGAGGAAUGUGGCACCCUCGGGUGUGUUAUAGCCUUUCACUGGAUGCAGCAGUUGGGACCGAGGAACGCAGCGCGCCUUUAUGGCGGACCUUCGGGUACCUUCGCGCUUAGGAUGCUGGCGUAAUAGCUUCAAGUGACCCGUCUUGAAACACGGACC